rnacentral:rRNA from 1 species
GACGAACGCUGGCGGCGUGCUUAACACAUGCAAGUCGAACGGAAAGGCCCUGCUUGCAGGGUACUCGAGUGGCGAACGGGUGAGUAACACGUGGGUGAUCUGCCCUGCACUUCGGGAUAAGCCUGGGAAACUGGGUCUAAUACCGGAUAGGAGCCCUUUUUAGUGUGAUGGUUGGAAAGUUUUUUCGGUGUAGGAUGAGCUCGCGGCCUAUCAGCUUGUUGGUGGGGUAAUGGCCUACCAAGGCGGCGACGGGUAGCCGGCCUGAGAGGGUGGACGGCCACAUUGGGACUGGGAUACGGCCCAGGCUCCUACGGGAGGCAGCAGUGGGGAAUAGUGAACAAUGGGCGCAAGCCUGAUGCAGCGACGCCGCGGGGGGGAUGACGGCCUUCGGGUUGGAAACUCCUUUCGCCAGGGACGAAGCUUUUUGGGACGGUACCUAGAUAAGAAGCACCGGCUAACUACGUG